rnacentral:lncRNA from 1 species
GUAUCUCUUUUUAGCUCACCUGGCCCUAAGGGCCAAGUGAGCUUUUCCCAUCACUUUGCGUCCGGCGUCCGUCGUCGUCCGUCGUCUGUCGUCCGUCGUCCGUCGUCCGUCGUCCGUCGUCGUUAACUUUUACAAAAAUCUUCUCCUCUGAAACUGCUGGGCCAAAUUAAACCAAACUUGGCCACAAUCAUCAUUGGGGUAUUUAGUUUAAAAAAUGUGUGGCGUGACCC